rnacentral:rRNA from 1 species
AUUGAACGCUGGCGGCAUGCCUUACACAUGCAAGUCGAACGGCAGCACGGGAGCAAUCCUGGUGGCGAGUGGCGAACGGGUGAGUAAUAUAUCGGAACGUGCCCGGUAGUGGGGGAUAACUGCUCGAAAGAGCAGCUAAUACCGCAUACGACCUAAGGGUGAAAGGGGGGGAUCGCAAGACCUCUCGCUAUUGGAGCGGCCGAUAUCAGAUUAGCUAGUUGGUGGGGUAAAGGCCUACCAAGGCAACGAUCUGUAGUUGGUCUGAGAGGACGACCAGCCACACUGGGACUGAGACACGGCCCAGACUCCUACGGGAGGCAGCAGUGGGGAAUUUUGGACAAUGGGCGCAAGCCUGAUCCAGCAAUGCCGCGUGCAGGAAGAAGGCCUUCGGGUUGUAAACUGCUUUUGUCAGGGAAGAAAUCCUCUAGGUUAAUACCCUUGGGGGGAUGACGGUACCUGAAGAAUAAGCACCGGCUAACUACGUGCCAGCCGCCGCAGUAAUAC